AAGCGAGACUUGUCUUCAUAGGCCACUCACAAUGAUGUCCUUUUUAUGUGCAACUGCUGCAAAAGCAUCCCGACCAGAGAAGCAUCAAACCACAGGUGUCUCAUGUAGCUGCCAAAGUAGCUCAGUUGGGAGAGCAUUAGACUGAAGAUCUGAAAGUCCCUGGUUCAAUCCUGGGCUUUAGCAGGCCCAUUCAUCCCUCUUUGUGCAGGGGCAGCUUGUUUUCUGGGAGGGCAACAGCACCUUCACCUGAGGCAAGUACUUGAGUUUGAGUUCCCCAGCAGGACAACAGAGUGUGGGCUUCUGCCCCUAGUUGGCCCACCUGACCUGUAACAAUGAGGAACAGGAGCUGUCUCUUCCACAUGACUUAUUGGUAGACCCAAUGUGGUGGGAAGAGAGUGAGAUAGGAUGGUCCUUGGAGAUGAUGCCAGAGGGGGCAGGGACUGGGGACAAAAGCUCCUCUCCACAGCUGAGCAAGGGCAGUACUGGGGAAGGGGCAUCUGUUAAAGUGACCCAGCACACCUCUUCUCCUCUGGGCACCUAGAGCAGAGGCAGCUGGUGCAGACAGCUCCAAGGGAAGGCUUAAAAGCCACAGAG